GCAGUCGAACGGAAACGAUGGAAGCUUGCUUCCAGGCGUCGAGUGGCGGACGGGUUGAGUAACACUUAGGAAUCUGCCCAGUAGUGGGGGACAACUCGAGGAAACUCGAGCUAAUACCGCAUACGCACUACGGUGGAAAGUGGGGGAUCGUCUCAAUAAGAGCCUUCGAGGCUCGAAGAACGAUUGUUCGUAAGAACCUUUAGGGUUUUUAUUGGGACGACCUCACGCUAUUGGAUGAGCCUAAGUCGGAUUAGCUUGUUGGUGAGGUAAAAGCUCACCAAGGCGACGAUCCGUAGCUGGUCUGAGAGGACGAUCAGCCACACUGGGACUGAGACACGGCCCAGACUCCUACGGGAGGCAGCAGUGGGGAAUAUUGGACAAUGGGCGCAAGCCUGAUCCAGCAAUGCCGCGUGUGUGAAGAAGGCCUGCGG
rnacentral:rRNA from 1 species